AACGAACGCUGGCGGCAUGCCUAACACAUGCAAGUCGAACGAGACCUUCGGGUCUAGUGGCGCACGGGUGCGUAACGCGUGGGAAUCUGCCCUGGGUUCGGAAUAACUCGCCGAAAGGCGUGCUAAUACCGGAUGAUGUCGUAAGACCAAAGAUUUAUCGCCCAGGGAUGAGCCCGCGUAAGAUUAGCUAGUUGGUGAGGUAAAGGCUCACCAAGGCGACGAUCUUUAGCUGGUCUGAGAGGAUGAUCAGCCACACUGGGACUGAGACACGGCCCAGACUCCUACGGGAGGCAGCAGUGGGGAAUAUUGGACAAUGGGCGAAAGCCUGAUCCAGCAAUGCCGCGUGAGUGAUGAAGGCCUUAGGGUUGUAAAGCUCUUUUACCCGGGAAUGAUAAUGACAGUACCGGGGAGAAUAAGCUCCGGCUAACUCCGUGCCAGCAGCCGCGGUAAUACGGAGGGAGCUAGCGUUGUUCGGAAUUACUGGGCGUAAAGCGCACGUAGGGCGGCUUUGUAAGUCAGAGGUGAAAGCCUGGAGCUCAACUCCAGAACUGCCUUUGAGACUGCAUCGCUUGAAUCCAGGAGAGGUGAGUGGAAUUUCCCGAGUGUAGAGGUGAAAAUUCGUAGAUAUUCGGAAGAACACCANUGGCGAAGGGCGGCUCACUGGACUGGUAUUGACGCUGAGGUGCGAAAGCGUGGGGGAGCAAAACAGGA
rnacentral:rRNA from 1 species